GUGCCUGUAGGCGAACUGGAAUAGCCGCCUGUCUUAGAAACAGGAGUUUGAGGGUUCGACUCCCUCCGGGCGCACCA
rnacentral:tRNA from 1 species